UGGCAAGUAGCGUGUGGAGCAUCUGAGGGUAGGCAUGGGUUCGAAUCCUAUAGCAAGCAUGGAGCAUUUAUUUUGCUAACAGGGGGCGGCAAGAGUUGGUGUUGAAUUUAAACUCUGAUGUUGGAGGGAUCCCACAUCGGGAAGCUAACAUAAGAGUGGUUGCGAAGCUGGCUUUAAAUAGAGGGAACCAUGAGGAGAGUAAAGGUGCCUUUUCUUGGCUAAUCCCUUUCGCUGUAUGGCGUGCUCGUUUGGGUUGGGCAUCGGCUAAGAGUACUCGAAGCGUGGAUUAAUUCCAGUCUCCUAUCAGGUGUGUAUUUUCUCGCUACCCUAGCUGUAGGAUGGCUACUUCGAG
rnacentral:lncRNA from 1 species